AGUGAACGCUGGCGGUAGGCCUAACACAUGCAAGUCGAACGGCAGCACAGAGGAGCUUGCUCCUUGGGUGGCGAGUGGCGGACGGGUGAGGAAUACAUCGGAAUCUACUCUGUCGUGGGGGAUAACGUAGGGAAACUUACGCUAAUACCGCAUACGACCUACGGGUGAAAGCAGGGGACCUUCGGGCCUUGCGCGAUUGAAUGAGCCGAUGUCGGAUUAGCUAGUUGGCGGGGUAAGGGCCCACCAAGGCGACGAUCCGUAGCUGGUCUGAGAGGAUGAGCAGCCAGACUGGAACUGAGGACCGGUCCAGACUCCUACGGGAGGCAGCAGUGGGGAAUAUUGGACAAGGGGCGCAAGCCUGAUCCAGCCAUACCGCGUGGGUGAAGAAGGCCUUCGGGUUGUAAAGCCCUUUUGUUGGGAAAGAAAUCCAGCUGGCUAAUACCCGGUUGGGAUGACGGUACCCAAAGAAUAAGCACCGGCUAACUUCGUGCCAGCAGCCGCCGUAA
rnacentral:rRNA from 1 species